GGUUAAGUGACUAAGCGUACACGGUGGAUGCCCUGGCAGUCAGAGGCGAUGAAGGACGUGCUAAUCUGCGAAAAGCGUCGGUAAGGUGAUAUGAACCGUUAUAACCGGCGAUGUCCGAAUGGGGAAACCCAGUGCAAUUCGUUGCACUAUCGUUAACUGAAUACAUAGGUUAACGAGGCGAACCGGGGGAACUGAAACAUCUAAGUACCCCGAGGAAAAGAAAUCAACCGAGAUUCCCCCAGUAGCGGCGAGCGAACGGGGAGCAGCCCAGAGUCUGAAUCAGCUUGUGUGUUAGUGGAACGGUCUGGAAAGUCCGACGGUACAGGGUGAUAGUCCCGUACACCAAAAUGCACAGGCUGUGAACUCGAAGAGUAGGGCGGGACACGUGGUAUCCUGUCUGAAUAUGGGGGGACCAUCCUCCAAGGCUAAAUACUCCUGACUGACCGAUAGUGAACCAGUACCGUGAGGGAAAGGCGAAAAGAACCCCGGCGAGGGGAGUGAAAAAGAACCUGAAACCGUGUACGUACAAGCAGUGGGAGCACCUUCGGGUGUGACUGCGUACCUUUUGUAUAAUGGGUCAGCGACUUAUAUUCUGUAGCAAGGUUAACCGUAUAGGGGAGCCGCAGGGAAACCGAGUCUUAACUGGGCGUUAAGUUGCAGGGUAUAGACCCGAAACCCGGUGAUCUAGCCAUGGGCAGGUUGAAGGUUGGGUAACACUAACUGGAGGACCGAACCGACUAAUGUUGAAAAAUUAGCGGAUGACUUGUGGCUGGGGGUGAAAGGCCAAUCAAACCGGGAGAUAGCUGGUUCUCCCCGAAAGCUAUUUAGGUAGCGCCUCGUGAACUCAUCUUCGGGGGUAGAGCACUGUUUCGGCUAGGGGGUCAUCCCGACUUACCAACCCGAUGCAAACUACGAAUACCGAAGAAUGUUAUCACGGGAGACACACGGCGGGUGCUAACGUCCGUCGUGAAGAGGGAAACAACCCAGACCGCCAGCUAAGGUCCCAAAGUCAUGGUUAAGUGGGAAACGAUGUGGGAAGGCACAGACAGCCAGGAUGUUGGCUUAGAAGCAGCCAUCAUUUAAAGAAAGCGUAAUAGCUCACUGGUCGAGUCGGCCUGCGCGGAAGAUGUAACGGGGCUAAACCAUGCACCGAAGCUGCGGCAGCGACACUAUGUGUUGUUGGGUAGGGGAGCGUUCUGUAAGCCUGCGAAGGUGACCUGUGAGGGUUGCUGGAGGUAUCAGAAGUGCGAAUGCUGACAUAAGUAACGAUAAAGCGGGUGAAAAGCCCGCUCGCCGGAAGACCAAGGGUUCCUGUCCAACGUUAAUCGGGGCAGGGUGAGUCGACCCCUAAGGCGAGGCCGAAAGGCGUAGUCGAUGGGAAACAGGUUAAUAUUCCUGUACUUGGUGUUACUGCGAAGGGGGGACGGAGAAGGCUAUGUUAGCCGGGCGACGGUUGUCCCGGUUUAAGCAUGUAGGCUGGUUAUCCAGGCAAAUCCGGAUAAUCAAGGCUGAGGUGUGAUGACGAGGCACUACGGUGCUGAAGUAACAAAUGCCCUGCUUCCAGGAAAAGCCUCUAAGCAUCAGGUAACAUCAAAUCGUACCCCAAACCGACACAGGUGGUCAGGUAGAGAAUACCAAGGCGCUUGAGAGAACUCGGGUGAAGGAACUAGGCAAAAUGGUGCCGUAACUUCGGGAGAAGGCACGCUGGUGUGUAGGUGAAGUCCCUGCGGAUGGAGCUGAGACCAGUCGAAGAUACCAGCUGGCUGCAACUGUUUAUUAAAAACACAGCACUGUGCAAACACGAAAGUGGACGUAUACGGUGUGACGCCUGCCCGGUGCCGGAAGGUUAAUUGAUGGGGUUAUCCGUAAGGAGAAGCUCUUGAUCGAAGCCCCGGUAAACGGCGGCCGUAACUAUAACGGUCCUAAGGUAGCGAAAUUCCUUGUCGGGUAAGUUCCGACCUGCACGAAUGGCGUAAUGAUGGCCAGGCUGUCUCCACCCGAGACUCAGUGAAAUUGAACUCGCUGUGAAGAUGCAGUGUACCCGCGGCAAGACGGAAAGACCCCGUGAACCUUUACUAUAGCUUGACACUGAACAUUGAGCCUUGAUGUGUAGGAUAGGUGGGAGGCUUUGAAGCGUGGACGCCAGUCUGCGUGGAGCCAACCUUGAAAUACCACCCUUUAAUGUUUGAUGUUCUAACGUUGGCCCCUGACCGGGGUUGCGGACAGUGUCUGGUGGGUAGUUUGACUGGGGCGGUCUCCUCCCAAAGCGUAACGGAGGAGCACGAAGGUUAGCUAAUCCUGGUCGGACAUCAGGAGGUUAGUGCAAUGGCAUAAGCUAGCUUGACUGCGAGCGUGACGGCGCGAGCAGGUGCGAAAGCAGGUCAUAGUGAUCCGGUGGUUCUGAAUGGAAGGGCCAUCGCUCAACGGAUAAAAGGUACUCCGGGGAUAACAGGCUGAUACCGCCCAAGAGUUCAUAUCGACGGCGGUGUUUGGCACCUCGAUGUCGGCUCAUCACAUCCUGGGGCUGAAGUAGGUCCCAAGGGUAUGGCUGUUCGCCAUUUAAAGUGGUACGCGAGCUGGGUUUAGAACGUCGUGAGACAGUUCGGUCCCUAUCUGCCGUGGGCGCUGGAGAAUUGAGGGGGGCUGCUCCUAGUACGAGAGGACCGGAGUGGACGCAUCACUGGUGUUCGGGUUGUCAUGCCAAUGGCACUGCCCGGUAGCUAAAUGCGGAAGAGAUAAGUGCUGAAAGCAUCUAAGCACGAAACUUGCCCCGAGAUGAGUUCUCCCUGAGACUUUAAGUCUCCUGAAGGAACGUUAAAGACGAUGACGUUGAUAGGCCGGGUGUGUAAGCGCAGCGAUGCGUUGAGCUAACCGGUACUAAUGAACCGUGAGGCUUAACCUU
rnacentral:rRNA from 1 species